CCGUCGGCUAAUAUGAAAUGAUACUACUACAUUCCGUGGAUGUUUAUCAACAUAUAAAUGUGUUAUGGACUAAAUAUUUCACUGAAUUGGAUAGUCUGGACCCUUUACAGUGUAACUACACCAUUUUUGUUGGAAUGUAAUGAACUAGUGGACUAACAAGAGGCUUCAUAGUAUCCUCUGUUCGCAGAC